GGGCUUGCCGGAGCCACCUACCAGCUUUCAAAGGAUAUGCGGAUACUCACUGAGAAGAAUAGCAUGCUACCUCGGGAGCUGGAACAGUGUCGGACCCAGCUGACUGCUGUUACCGCCGAACUGGAGAAGUCCAUGGAGGCACCGACUGGAUCGUCGGAUCAGCUGGAAGAGAAACUAAAGGCCGCGCAGGCGGAUAAAGAUCAUGCCGAAAGGCAAGAGGCCGCUGGUCAACGUGUACUGACACGGACCAGGGACGAGAAGAACAAGCUGCAGGAUGCCAACACCAAGCUCGGCGAAGAG
rnacentral:rRNA from 1 species